rnacentral:rRNA from 1 species
GAUGAACGCUAGCGGCAGGCCUAAUACAUGCAAGUCGAACGAGAUUAAGAGGCUUGCUUCUUAUGAAAGUGGCGCACGGGUGCGUAACGCGUAUGCAACCUACCUUAAUCAGGGGGAUAGCCCGAAGAAAUUCGGAUUAAGACCGCAUAAAAACACAGGAUAGCAUUAUCCAAUGUUCAAAUAUUUAUAGGAUUAAGAUGGGCAUGCGUGUCAUUAGCUAGUUGGCGGGGUAACGGUCCACCAAGGCGACGAUGACUAGGGGAUCUGAGAGGAUGACCCCCCACACUGGUACUGAGACACGGACCAGACUCCUACGGGAGGCAGCAGUAAGGAAUAUUGGUCAAUGGAGGGAACUCUGAACCAGCCAUGCCGCGUGCAGGAAGACAGCCCUCUGGGUCGUAAACUGCUUUUAUUCGGGAAUAAACCUUUCUACGUGUAGGAAGCUGAAUGUACCGAAGGAAUAAGGAUCGGCUAACUCCGUG